rnacentral:rRNA from 1 species
UACGUAGGGCGCAAGCGUUGUCCGGAAUUAUUGGGCGUAAAGAGCUCGUAGGCGGUUUGUCGCGUCUGUCGUGAAAGCUUGGGGCUUAACCCCAAGUCUGCGGUGGAUACGGGCAGACUAGAGGCAGGUAGGGGAGAACGGAAUUCCUGGUGUAGCGGUGAAAUGCGCAGAUAUCAGGAGGAACACCGAUGGCGAAGGCAGGUCUCUGGGCAUUAACUGACGCUGAGGAGCGAAAGCAUGGGGAGCGAACAGG